rnacentral:rRNA from 1 species
ACGAACGCUGGCGGCGGCUUAACACAUGCAAGUCGAACGGAGGGGCAAACGGGUGAGUAACGCGUGAGCAACCUGCCUAUGACAGUGGGAUAGCCUCGGGAAACCGGGAUUAAUACCGCAUAGUCAUAGAUGGGCUCGCGUCUGAUUAGCAAGUUGGUGAGAUAACAGCCCACCCAGGCGACGAUCAGUAGCGGGUAGGAGAGGAUGACCGGCCAGAUUGCAACUGGGACACGGUCCAAAGUCUUACGGGAUGCAGGCGUGGGGAAUAUUGCAGAACGGGGUAUACCCUGAUGCAGUGACGCGGCGUGAACGAAGAAGGUAUUCGUAUCGUAAAGUUCUGUAAUAUGGGAAGCAGUACCAUAGAAGAAAGCUCCGGCUAAAUACGUGCCAGCAGCCGCGGUAAUUC